rnacentral:lncRNA from 1 species
GAGGAGAAAAGGGUUUAUUACCCAGUCCCGGAGUGACACCAUCCCCCACCCAACAACUCUCAACAACUUGAUAGGGCCCAAAGAGGGAAGGGGCCUAGAAGACUGAGAGCAAAAGAGAAAGGUGAGGCUGGCCAGGCACAGUGGCUCAUGCCUGUAAUCCCAGCACUUUGGGAGGCCGAGGUGGGUGGAUCACAAGGUCAGGAGAUCGAGACCAUCCUGGCUAACACGGUGAAACCCUGUCUCUACUAAAAAUACAAAAAAUUAGC